AGAGUUUGAUCAUGGCUCAGGACGAACGCUGGCGGCGUGCCUAACACAUGCAAGUCAAGGCGGUAGCAAUACCGACUGGCGCACGGGUGCGGAACACGUAGGUAAUCUGCCCUUUAGGGGAGAACAACCAGCCGAAAGGUUGGCUAAAUCUCCGUAACAUUUGAGAGUGGCAUCACUCUUUAAUCAAGCUUUCUAAAGGAUGAGCCUGCGUCUGAUUAGCUAGUUGGUAGUGUAACGGACUACCAAGGCUACGAUCAGUAGCUGGUCUGAGAGGAUGAUCAGCCACAUUGGGACUGAGACACAGCCCAGACUCCUACGGGAGGCAGCAGUGAGGAAUAUUGCUCAAUGGACGAAAGUCUGAAGCAGCAACGCCGCGUGAGGGAUGAAGGUGCUCUGCAUUGUAAACCUCUGUAGAAGGGGACAAACGUCGGGUUACUACCCGAGUGAUGGUACCCUUAAAGUAAGGAUCGGCUAACUACGUGCCAGCCGCCGCGGUAAUAC
rnacentral:rRNA from 1 species